GCCUGGCUAGUUCAAUCGGUAGGUCGAGCGUGAGACUCUUAAGGCCUCCGUGAUCUGACAUCUCUAGGUUGUGGGUUCGACCCCCACAUCGGGCU